GUCCACACGCUUGGCAUUUGCCUCUCAGCCUCAGUCGAUGGCACGCCGGUCGUGCCGGCUGGUACGUCCACCCGACAUAGCUGGUUACCGCAGCAAAACUGGAACCGUUGGAAGGAGGAGAUAGCGAGAGUGAAGAAAAUUGACUACCCUACUAGCAAGAGAAUGUGAAUCCCCCGUUGAGGAAAUAUGAGAAGCAAGGCAGGAAAAAAACUUGGCUCAUUUUUCAAAAUGAAGCCGGGAAACAAACUCACAACUACAGUUGUAGCCAUUUGUUAAGCGGCCCAAAUUGGAUGUACUUUACAUAAUAAUCGCAUAUAUAUACCAAUGUUUCCAUACUACAUACAUAUAUACAUAUAUAUAACCUAAUGGUAUUUUAACGAUGUUAAAUGUUGCUGUUGUUUGGGAUCGUAUUGUCACAAGAAUGUCCUCUUGUCAAAAUCGAUUAGCAUUUCAUAUUACUCGCAAUCUAUACUAUAUAUAUACAUAUAUAUACUUAACCAACUUAUUUACCAAUUGUUAUAAAUACGUAUGCCAUGCCUAAAAAGACAACAUACAAGAAGCACAUACAUAUGAUAAUAUAUUGACAUACUUAAUCGUGCCCAUGUUAGGCACAAAUAUCUAAUACUCUAUCAAUCUAUAAAGCCUAUACUCGUAAAUUGCAAAAUAAAAUUUAUUAACCCA